AGCUCAUUUUAAAAAAACCUGACCCAAGCCUCCCAACAAGAUAGUUGAUGGCAGAAAAAGCUUUCCGCUUAGAUUUGAAAGCUCUUCAAGAGGAGGAAUGCAAACGGACUGACAAAUUCAGCGUUCUCCUCCAUGCCCCUUCUUCAUGCCAACAUAUUUCUUUAUUCCAACUACUAGUCGCAGAUCAGUAGUUCAGUAACUGACCCAAUAGUAUUUUGGACUAUUAUUCCAUUUGGGUCUGCUUUCACCUAAAUAACAACCAUCUGGUGGUGUCUCAAAUCGGAUUCAUCUGAUGGACUGCAUAUAAUAACCAGUUCAAGGAUUGUCAGGGGAAGGGUUAACAUUCUUGCCCUGAGCAGAAGGACCACAGCUGCAUGCCGUAAACUUAACACAAAGAUUGUCAGGGGUAGAAGGCCUGGGUCAGCUGUAAAGAAUUAAGCAAAUCCCCCUACUACAAGAAGAGGGAAGAAAAAGGGUGGAAUUAAGAAGUCUCUUUCUGUUCUUGCAUUUGGUUCAUUGUGAAAUAGAUAACUGAGAACUUUUGAGGCAUACCUUGACCCUUGGCCUCUGUGCAUUUUUUCCUCUUAGAGGGCGCUGCUCCUUGAUCUCAAAGAACCUGAGUAGUUCAUCUGUCAUUCCGUUAAUGUUUGAGUUUUGCAGAAGGUGUGUGAAAAAGAUACCAUGUAAAUCUGUAAAAUCAUUUGUUGUUUUUCUAGGAAUCUGCAUCCUCUCUUUCAAGCUAGCAUUGUGUUUCUAAAAGGAAGGUGGGAAGUUUACUCCACUGAAACAUUCUCAGGGCAAGCACUUCUUCAACAACAAGACUGAAGCAUAAAUGUGCCUUGUUUUCUCCCAGAUGUUACAUCCUACUUCAGAACAAAUUCCAAAACACAGGUUUCCCUGGAAUGUCUAUCACAGAAAGACAAGGAAAUGGAAGAUCCUUCUGCUGCAGCAAGUAAUGGGAGAGCUGGAAAUACAGCUAUGUGUCAUGGAGCCACGCUCUUCCUGAAAUGUAAAAUCAGAGUGAACUGUCUGAAGUUAAUACUACAAGUACACAAACAUCCAAAUUGCCUAAUCUUACCUGAAUCUGAACUAACACUUCCAUUGUCACCUUUGGGUUAUCUCACUUGAGACAGAUCUAAUUGUUGUAAGUAUCUCCAUGCAUACUCAGCUACUUUUGUGUUUAGAGGUCAGUUUAGAGUGUACAGCACAAUUUACUUUAAAUUUUGAGCAUAGGUGGUUCAUUAAGGGAUGUUCUGUGUAGUUAUGAGUAACCACAGGUACCUAUUAUUCUAUACUCAAAUGCAUAUUAGUAUAGACACAUAACUGUGUUUGGUUGUUGUUUUUUUUUUUUAACCAGUAUUUCAUAAAAGGAUGUAUCAUAUUAUAUUAAAAUGAUUGACAAUACAAAUG
rnacentral:lncRNA from 1 species